rnacentral:rRNA from 1 species
CCUACGGGAUGCAGCAGGGAAUUUUGCGCAAUGGGCGAAAGCCUGACGCAGCAACGCCGCGUGGGGGAUGAGGGCCUUCGGGUUGUAAACCCCUUUUAGGAGGGACGAAAUUGACGGUACCUCCAGAAAAAGCCCCGGCCAACUACGCGCCAGCAGCCGCGGUAAUACGUAGGGGGCGAGCGUUGUCCGGAAUUAUUGGGCGUAAAGAGCUCGUAGGCGGCUUAGUAAGUCGGCGGUGAAAUACCGAGGCUCAACCUCGGCACUGCCGUCGAUACUGCUAUGGCUAGAGUUUGGUAGAGGAGAACGGAAUUCCCGGUGUAGCGGUGGAAUGCGCAGAUAUCGGGAGGAACACCCGUAGCGAAGGCGGUUCUCUGGGCCAAUACUGACGCUGAGGCGCGAAAGCGUGGGGAGCAAACAGGAUUAGAUACCCCGGUAGUC